GCGACCCCAGGUCGGGCGGGACUACCCGCUGAGUUUAAGCAUAUCAAUAAGCGGAGGA
rnacentral:rRNA from 1 species